rnacentral:lncRNA from 1 species
AAAAUAUCUACUUAUACAUGUUUUGUAUUUACUUCUGCAUGAAUUCUAAAGGCAAGCAACAUUUCAGAUAAUAUGUAACAUUCUGAGAUAUGUUUAUCAUUCACCAUUAUAAUAAUACUAUUUGACCAUUUGAACUAUUUUAUGGUUGACAAAUAAAAUUAUAUGAUUGACAAGAAGAAAACCCAGAAACUUUUGGACUCUGGCUUAUCUAUAAUGAUUAGAUGGAGCAAGCAACUAGAGUUGACAGCAGUCUUUCCAUUUCUGAGUUUUCCGCUCUGUUCCAUUGAUUUAUGUGUCUGUUUUUGUGCCAGUACCAUACUGUCUUGAUGAUUACAGCUUUGAGCUAGAGCUUGAAGUUCAGAAUAGUGAUGCCACCGGUUCUCAUUCCCUUUUUCAACAUUUCCUUGGAUAUUCAAUGACCACAGUCUUUCCAAAGAUAAUGUCAGAGAUCAUCUCUCCAACAAAUUUUAGCCAAAACAAAAUCAAUGGAUGCACACUGAGCCAGAGGAGACUGAAUUUAAAAGAAGGUGAUAGUGACAUCUAUCAGGCAAUUCUUCUAAAUAAAGCACAUGCCUACCCUCAGGUCUGUAGCAAGUUGAUUAUCUGUAGCGGAGGGUUUUGGCCUACCUAUCACUUUUUUAUUCAAUCUCAUUGUUGGGAAGCUGCUGACUGUGGGUAUAAAAAUGUUAAUGCAAAAGCAAUUGAUCAUUUUCAUCCCUAAUUCCUGUGAUUUU